ACGGGAGGCAGCAGUGGGGAAUAUUGCACAAUGGGCGGAAGCCUGAUGCAGCGACGCCGCGUGAGGGAUGACGGCCUUCGGGUUGUAAACCUCUUUCAGCACCGACGAAGCGAGAGUGACGGUAGGUGCAGAAGAAGCGCCGGCCAACUACGUGCCAGCAGCCGCGGUAAGACGUAGGGCGCGAGCGUUGUCCGGAUUUAUUGGGCGUAAAGAGCUCGUAGGCGGCUUGUCGCGUCGACUGUGAAAACCCGUGGCUCAACUGCGGGCUUGCAGCCGAUACGGGCAGGCUGGAGUUCGGUAGGGGAGACUGGAAUUCCUGGUGUAGCGGUGAAAUGCGCAGAUAUCAGGAGGAACACCGGUGGCGAAGGCGGGUCUCUGGGCCGAUACUGACGCUGAGGAGCGAAAGCGUGGGGAGCGAACAGGAUUAGAUACCCUGGUA
rnacentral:rRNA from 1 species